CUAUGUCCCUCGAAACAUUCUUUCUCUUAAAAUAUUAACUCUCCCUUCUCUCUAAAAAGAAAACUCGCAGCCGCCGCCUAGGGUUACCAGUUCCGGUGGCUUUUUCAACACCGAAAUCGGGGUCUUGUUUCUUUCAUUCUCUCGUUUCGUUUUUAUUUUUCCGGCACAUCUGAGUCCUGUUUUUUUCCAACGGUAUUAGAUCUAGAAUUACAGAUCUAGAUAUAUAAAGUCUAAAUCUAUUUAUCUUCGGGUUCUUGCUGCUUGUUUUUGUCUCCCACAAGUUUAGCUUCAGAUCUGGCUGAUCCGUCCAUGGCAGAGGCAGUCUCUAACUGCUCCUUCACUGCCUGAAACUUCACCAUCGAAGAUCUCGAUCUCCUUCCUUUCUUCAAGAGACUUUCAUUCCUUCGGAUCUCUAGGUCUUGGAUUUGUCUCACAGCCUUUGUGGCUCCUCUCCGGAGCAAUGUAAAGAAUAUCGCAAGGCUUUUUCAUCCGGGUUUAAUUAGUGGUAAGGUGAGUCUUGUAAUUGGUUCUGUUUGUGUGGGUUUUUAAUCUCAAAUCUGUUAAUUUUAUCAUUGAUGUAGGCUUUGUAUGUUUAUUUUUGAUUGGUUAUGAGUCCUGAAAGUAUUCGAAUGGAUGUUAUGUAAUUGUUUGUUUGGGUUUUUUCCUUUUUGUUUCAUCUUAGUUUGGUCUUUGUCUCUGGGAGUCUUCAUAAACUCGCUGGCUCAGUCUCUAGAAGGGUUGUUUCCCUUGCCGGCUCUUGUAUUCCAACCUUGAAUUCUAUCAAUGAAAUCCAUAUUUCUAGUGAAAAAAACAAAC
rnacentral:lncRNA from 1 species